rnacentral:rRNA from 1 species
UACGGAGGGUGCGAGCGUUGUCCGGCAUCACUGGGCGUAAAGGGCGCGUAGGCGGCGCGGGAAGUCCGUGGUGAAAGCCCGAGGCUCAACUUCGGGUCGGCCAUGGAUACUCCUGGGCUCGAGCACUGUAGAGGCAGGUGGAAUUCCGGGUGUAGCGGUGGAAUGCGUAGAGAUCCGGAAGAACACCGGUGGCGAAGGCAGCCCCCUGGGCUGAGAUUGACGCUCAGGCACGAAAGCGUGGGGAGCAAACAGG